AGGUGCGAUCAUACCAGCACUAAUGCACUGAAUCCUGUCAGAUCUCCGCAGUUAAGCGUGCUUGGGCGAGGGUAGUACUAGGAUAGGUGACUUCCUGGGAAGUCCUCGUAUUGCACCCC
rnacentral:rRNA from 1 species